AUUGGGAUGACUGAAAUAUUAAGUAAUAAAUUGUAAAUUUAUAAAUGAAUAAAAAUUAUUCUCUCAAUA
rnacentral:tRNA from 1 species